CUGGAACUCUGUCAGGUCAACUUUCUGGGUGCCGUCAAAGCGAAGGGAGGCUGUAAUCGAUGACACAAUCUGGCCAAUCAGCCUGUUGAGGUUAGUGUAGGUUGGCCUUUCAAUGUCGAGGUUUCUGCGACAGAUGUCAUAGAUUGCUUCAUUGUCCACCAUGAAGGCGCAGUCGGAGUGCUCAAGGGUGGUGUGAGUGGUCAGAAUGGAAUUGUAGGGCUCUACCACAGCUGUGGACACUUGAGGGGCUGGGUAGACAGCAAACUCAAGUUUGGACUUCUUCCCAUAAUCUACAGACAGUCUCUCCAUGAGCAGAGAGGUGAAACCAGAACCGGUGCCACCACCAAAGGAAUGAAA